rnacentral:lncRNA from 1 species
UCAUAUACUGUCAUUUGAUCUAUUUGCUGCCUGUUAGAAUAAAACGGGACUUCGGUUUGUUCCUUUCUAAUUAGAUUAGACAUGAUUUGAAGUGCAUUGGAAACAGCUUAAAAAAGUAAGGGCAGCAUUUCCUACAUUGGAGAAGCACAAGCUGCUAAACCAUGAAUGCCUACUUAAAGUGGCAGGUGAAGGUGGAAUACAUUAAUCAUUUAUCAAUAUCACAUUAUUAAUUAACAUAGCAAUAAAUAACUCCUGUUCAUAUUGUGAUUUCAGUUUAUAUGGCCAUGUUGAAAAUAUCUAAUAUUCAGGAUUGCAAUCCCUAGAAAUCAGAGGCAGCUGUAUUUAUCGGUUUGUGGACACUAAGGGGAAGAUUGGAAGUACUUCUGGAGAUGGGGCACAGAUUUUGCUGAUUAUGCUGGUAAGCUUGUUUUUUUUAGUUACCGACAUAUAAUUUUAAGUUAGAGUCAUCUAUUAGUUGUCUCAACUUCACACUAUUGAAGGGACAUAUAAUAUGCGUGGAAUAUCUAUAAUCCUAAAUUACUAAAUUUGUUACCAUUUUCUCACGUGUCAUAAAACACUUCUUUAUUCCAAGAUGACCAUUUCAUGCGCUCUUCCCCAAAUCCAAUCAAAAUAUACUUCAAUGUUUGGACCAAACAGUCUCAGCAUCUAAGGAUAUAGUAUCUGGUUAUUGUUGUCGUUGUCUUUGGUCAUUGUAGGAUUAAAAGAGUUCCAUCUUAUUGCCUGUUAGAUUGUAAACAAAGAAAAAGUUCCUUUGCCAAACUCCUCUAAAAACUAGGCUAAGCUGUAUGAUGCCUCAUCUUUUCUCUUUUGCUUAUGCUUAUAAGCCAAAAUUUGAAUUUUCAACCUUAUAUUUAGAGUUGAUUUUGGGAUUUUUUUUCAUCAGUUUAUUUUUCAGCUGUUGCUUUUAGAUCGCUACCACUUCACCUACUUUAUUGCCCCCAACCGUUUCCCCCACCUCUACAGAAACAGAGGGGAAAAAGUGGGCAACAAGAAGGCGGUCACUAGCUGCAACUAAUGAGAUGGUUGCUUGCCGAGGGCUAAAUGGAAUGUUUGGGACAUAAGGCAAGACCUAUUACAAGCAGUUGCUAAGAACAUGUAUAUAAAAGUUGUAUUCACAAAAUAUUUUUCGUUUUGCCAUUUGGCUUUUUCAUGCAAACGAUGGUCCUGAUAAUGUCAAGAUGUACUAUGGGUGCUUUCUAGUGUGAACUCACCAAUUUCUUAGUCUACAAGGGCCACCGGUGUUCAGCUCAUGCUCC